rnacentral:rRNA from 1 species
CCUACGGGGGGCAGCAGUGGGGAAUAUUGCACAAUGGGGGAAACCCUGAUGCAGCAACGCCGCGUGGGUGAAGGAGCGUUUCGGCGCGUAAAGCCCUGUCAGCGGGGAGGAAGAAAGACGGUACCCGACCAAGAAGCCCCGGCUAACUACGUGCCAGCAGCCGCGGUAAUACGGAGGAUGCGAGCGUUAUCCGGAUUUAUUGGGUUUAAAGGGUGCGUAGGCGGAAUGCCAAGUCAGCGGUAAAAUGUCCGGGCUCAACCCGGGCCGGCCGUUGAAACUGGGGAUCUUGAGUGGGCGAGAAGUAU